ensembl:snoRNA SNORA74 Small nucleolar RNA SNORA74
CCCAGCUGUAGGCAACUGCCUACACUGCCUUGUACCUGAGCAAGUGUUUCACUGCUGGGGAAAAGCAUUUAAUAGUUCAUGGGCAUGGGCAGGUUUAAUGCCAAAUUUAUGUUAACCAUACCAGUGUGCUAGCAUAGU